CUACGGGUGGCAGCAGUGGGGAAUAUUGCACAAUGGAGGAAACUCUGAUGCAGCAACGCCGCGUGGAGGAUGACACUUUUCGGAGCGUAAACUCCUUUUAUAUAGGAAGAAGAUGACGGUACUACAUGAAUAAGCGCCGGCUAACUCCGUGCCAGCAGGCCGCGGUAAUACGGAGGGCGCAAGCGUUACUCGGAAUCACUGGGCGUAAAGAGCGUGUAGGCGGAUUAAAAAGUCAGAAGUGAAAUCCUAUAGCUUAACUAUAGAACUGCUUCUGAAACUCUUAAUCUAGAAUAUGGGAGAGGUAGAUGGAAUUUCUGGUGUAGGGGUAAAAUCCGUAGAGAUCAGAAGGAAUACCGAUUGCGAAGGCGAUCUACUAGAACAUUAUUGACGCUGAGACGCGAAAGCGUGGGGAGCAAACAGGAUUAGAUACCCCCGUAGUC
rnacentral:rRNA from 1 species